AUAAUAACAUUAUUAUUCCCAAAUAAAUCAGCCGCAAAUUGGACCAAGCUCGGCAGUGUUGGCACACCUAGCAGGUAUCUAACGCCGGUCUUCCGCUUGACCCAUUCCGUGACCUCACAAGGCCCAAGUCUCCAUUGUUUCAAAUAAAUUUAUCAUUAUUAAAGAAUCAGGUUUAAGCCUC